UUGCCCUAGUAACGGCGAGUGAAGCGGCAACAGCUCAAAUUUGAAAUCUGGCGCAAGCCCGAGUUGUAAUUUGUAGAGGAUGCUUCUGGGUAGCGACCGAUCUAAGUUCCUUGGAACAGGACGUCAUAGAGGGUGAGAAUCCCGUAUGUGACCGGCCCGCACCCUUUACGUAGCUCCUUCGACGAGUCGAGUUGUUUGGGAAUGCAGCUCUAAAUGGGAGGUAAAUUUCUUCUAAAGCUAAAUACCGGCCAGAGACCGAUAGCGCACAAGUAGAGUGAUCGAAAGAUGAAAAGUACUUUGGAAAGAGAGUUAAAAAGCACGUGAAAUUGUUGAAAGGGAAGCGCCUGCAAUCAGACUUCGCGGCAGUGUUCCGCCGGUCUUCUGACCGGUUCAUUCUCUGUCGCGAGGCCAUCAUCGUCUGGGCCCGCCGGAUAAGACCUUAGGAAUGUAGCUCACCUUCGGGGGAGUGUUAUAGCCUAUGGUGAUGCGGCGAGGCUCGGGCGAGGUCCGCGCUUCGGCAAGGAUGAUGGCGUAAUGGUUGUCGGCGGCCCGUCUUGAAACACGGACCAAGGAGUCUAACAUCUAUGCGAGUGUUCGGGUGUCAAACCCCUACGCGUAAUGAAAGUGAACGGAGGUGGGAACCGCAAGGUGCACCAUCGACCGAUCCUGAUGUCCUCGGAUGGAUUUGAGUAAGAGCAUAGCUGUUGGGACCCGAAAGAUGGUGAACUAUGCCUGAAUAGGGUGAAGCCAGAGGAAACUCUGGUGGAGGCUCGCAGCGGUUCUGACGUGCAAAUCGAUCGUCAAAUUUGGGUAUAGGGGC
rnacentral:rRNA from 1 species